GUCUCUCUUCUGCUACACUCUAAUUUUGGGUUUUCUUAUAGGUAAAUGCAGCAGCUGAGGUUAUUUAUGAUCUUAUUGAUCCAACAGCAAAUUUAAUAUUUGGAGCAGUGACAGAUCCAUCACUCAGUGUUCAAGUUAGCAUCACUCUAAUUACUUCUGGAUUCAAACACCAAGAAGAAAAUGAUGGGAGGCCAAUCCAGGCACAAGGAGACAUUACCCUUGGAAUCAAUCGAAGACGUUCCUCCUUCUCAGAAGGCAGUUCAGUUUAGAUUCCUGAUUUCUUGAAGAAGAAAGGACACUCACGUUAUCCAAGGUUUGAAAUGAUUCCUUUUUAUUCCAACGAGUGCCUUGGCUGAGGCCUUCCAGCCUCUUCAUUACCACAUCAGCAUCAAUCUGAGGGAUUUCAGUAUGCCUCGUUAGAUACAAGAUGAUUGAUCCUCGAUAUGUCAUUUGUUAGUACUUAGUAGUGGUUUCUAGCCUUCGUAUAUUAUUGCACACUCGUCUGAGCAUUAUGUCUGUUGCCUUUUGUUCCCAGAAUAUUUCAAUAAAAGCCCUUGUCGUGUAUAGAGUUUUCCAUCUAGGAAGUGAGAUAGAACUUAUGG
rnacentral:lncRNA from 1 species